rnacentral:rRNA from 1 species
GGGGAUAGCCCGGAGAAAUUCGGAUUAAUACCCCAUAAUGAUAUUUAGAGGCAUCUUUGAAUAUUUAAAGUUUCGACGGUACGAGAUGGGCAUGCGUGACAUUAGCUAGUUGGUGAGGUAACGGCCCACCAAGGCUACGAUGUCUAGGGGUUCUGAGAGGAUUAUCCCCCACACUGGUACUGAGACACGGACCAGACUCCUACGGGAGGCAGCAGUAAGGAAUAUUGGUCAAUGGGCGCAAGCCUGAACCAGCCAUGCCGCGUGAAGGAUGACGGCCCUAUGGGUUGUAAACUUCUUUUGUACGGGAAAAAACCUCUGGUCGAGUAUCAGAGCUGAUGGUACCGUAAGAAUAAGCAUCGGCUAACUCCGUGCCAGCAGCCGCGGUAAUACGGAGGAUGCAAGCGUUAUCCGGAUUUAUUGGGUUUAAAGGGUGCGUAGGCGGAUUAAUAAGUCAGUGGUGAAAACCUUCAGCUUAACUGGAGACUUGCCAUUGAUACUGUUAGUCUUGAGUACGGUCAAGGUAGGCGGAAUGUGUAAUGUAGCGGUGAAAUGCUUAGAUAUUACACAGAACACCGAUUGCGAAGGCAGCUUACUGGGCCAUUACUGACGCUGAUGCACGAAAGCGUGGGGAGCGAACAGGAUUAGAUACCCUGGUAGUCCACGCCGUAAACGAUGGAUGCUAGCCGUUGGAAAGCUUGCUUUUCUGUGGCGCAGCUAACGC